UCAAAUUCCCAUUACGGAGGAAAAGAAACCAACAGGGAUUGCCUCAGUAGCGGCGAGUGAAGCGGCAAAAGCUCAAAUUUGAAAUCUGGCGUCUUUGGCGUCCGAGUUGUAAUUUGAAGAAGGUAUCUUUGGGCCCGGCUCUCGUCUAUGUUCCUUGGAACAGGACGUCACAGAGGGUGAGAAUCCCGUGCGAUGAGAUGACCCGGGUCUGUGUAAAGUUCCUUCGACGAGUCGAGUUGUUUGGGAAUGCAGCUCUAAGUGGGUGGUAAAUUCCAUCUAAAGCUAAAUAUUGGCGAGAGACCGAUAGCGAACAAGUACAGUGAUGGAAAGAUGAAAAGAACUUUGAAAAGAGAGUGAAAAAGUACGUGAAAUUGUUGAAAGGGAAGGGCUUGAGAUCAGACUUGGUAUUUUGCAUGUUGCUCUCUCGGGGGCGGCCGCUGCGGUUUACCGGGCCAGCAUCGGUUUGGAGCGGCAGGAUAAUGGCGGAGGAAUGUGGCACGGCUUCUGCUGUGUGUUAUAGCCUCUGACGAUACUGCCAGCCUAGACCGAGGACUGCGGUUUACCUAUUACGUGCAUAAGUCCGAAGGGGUU
rnacentral:rRNA from 1 species